UGCCAUUAAUCACCAGACCAACGUCAG
rnacentral:piRNA from 1 species